UACGUAGGGGGCAAGCGUUGUCCGGAUUCAUUGGGCGUAAAGGGCGCGUAGGCGGCCGCCGCAAGUCGACUGUGAAAUCUCCGGGCUUAACCCGGAAAGGUCAGCCGAUACUGCGGGGCUAGAGUGCAGAAGGGGCAACUGGAAUUCUCGGUGUAGCGGUGAAAUGCGUAGAUAUCGAGAGGAACACCUGCGGCGAAGGCGGGUUGCUGGGCUGACACUGACGCUGAGGCGCGAAAGCUAGGGGAGCGAACGGG
rnacentral:rRNA from 1 species